rnacentral:rRNA from 1 species
AAGGAUCAUUAGUGAACUUGGCCUCACGGCCUAACCCACAAUCCACAAACACCUGUGAACCGUCGGCGCUCGCGCCGCUUUUACAAAACAUCUGUGUCAUGAACGUCCAUUGAUUGUAAACAAACAAAACUUUCAACAACGGAUCUCUUGGCUCUCGCAUCGAUGAAGAACGCAGCGAAAUGCGAUAAGUAAUGUGAAUUGCAGAAUUCAGUGAAUCAUCGAAUCUUUGAACGCAACUUGCGCCCUCUGGUAUUCCGGAGGGCAUGCCUGUUUGAGUGUCAUGAAACCUCAAUCCCCCAGGGUUCUGCUCUGUUGGGUGAUUGGAUUUGGGCGUUGCCGGCCUGGCCGGCUCGCCUUAAAGGCGUUAGUGGGAUCAGUAAACCCGAUCGGCGUAAUAAGUUUCGCUGAGGAGGUUUGCGCGAGCCCGCUCACAACCCUCUCCUUUGGAGAACACUCUUUUGAUCUGACCUCAAAUCAGGUAGGACUACCCGCUGAACUUAA